rnacentral:rRNA from 1 species
UGGGGAAUAUUGCACAAUGGGCGCAAGCCUGAUGCAGCCAUGCCGCGUGUGUGAAGAAGGCCUUCGGGUUGUAAAGCACUUUCAGCGAGGAGGAAGGUGGUGAGCUUAAUACGCUCAUCAAUUGACGUUACUCGCAGAAGAAGCACCGGCUAACUCCGUGCCAGCAGCCGCGGUAAUACGGAGGGUGCAAGCGUUAAUCGGAAUUACUGGGCGUAAAGCGCACGCAGGCGGUUUGUUAAGUCAGAUGUGAAAUCCCCGGGCUCAACCUGGGAACUGCAUUUGAAACUGGCAAGCUAGAGUCUCGUAGAGGGGGGUAGAAUUCCAGGUGUAGCGGUGAAAUGCGUAGAGAUCUGGAGGAAUACCGGUGGCGAAGGCGGCCCCCCGGACGAAGACUGACGCUCAGGUGCGAAAGCGUGGGGCAGCAAACAGGAUUAGAUACCCUGGUAGUCCACGCUGUAAAACGAUGUCGAUUUUGGAGGUUGUGCCCUUGAGGCGUGGCUUCCGGAGCUAACGCGUUAAAUCGACCGCCUGGGGAGUACGGCCGCAAGGUUAAAACUUAAAUGAAUUGAC